UUCUACCUACGGGGCGCAGCAGUAGGGAAUCUUCCACAAUGGGCGAAAGCCUGAUGGAGCAACGCCGCGUGGGUGAAGAAGGUCUUCGGAUCGUAAAACCCUGUUGUUAGAGAAGAAAGUGCGUGAGAGUAACUGUUCACGUUUCGACGGUAUCUAACCAGAAAGCCACAGCUAACUACGUGCCAGCAGCCGCGGUAAUACGUAGGUGGCAAGCGUUAUCCGGAUUUAUUGGGCGUAAAGGGAACGCAGCCGGCCUUUUAAGUCUGAUGUGAAAGCCUUCGGCUUAACCGGCGU
rnacentral:rRNA from 1 species